UGGGUAACCUGCCUCAAAGAGGGGAAUAGCCUUCCGAAAGGAAGAUUAAUACCGCAUAAUAUGUUUUGAUCGCAUGAUCAGAAUAUCAAAGGAGUAAUCCGCUUUGAGAUGGACCCGCGGCGCAUUAGCUAGUUGGUGAGGUAACGGCUCACCAAGGCGACGAUGCGUAGCCGACCUGAGAGGGUGAUCGGCCACAUUGGAACUGAGACACGGUCCAGACCUCGUACGGGAG
rnacentral:rRNA from 1 species